rnacentral:rRNA from 1 species
AGCAGCCGCGGUAAUUCCAGCUCCAAUAGCGUAUAUUAAAGUUGCUGCAGUUAAAAAGCUCGUAGUUGAAUUUCGGGUCAAUAUGUUGGUCGUGCCUUGGUACGUACUAGCUUAUUGAUUUCUCCUUCUGACGAACCAUGAUGUCAUUAAUUUGGUGUCAUGGGGAAUCAGGACUGUUACUUUGAAAAAAUUAGAGUGUUUAAAGCAGGCUCGCGCUUGAAUACAUUAGCAUGGAAUAAUGAAAUAGGACAUUUGAUUCUAUUUUGUUGGUUUCUAGGAUCGAUGUAAUGAUUAAUAGGGAUAGUUGGGGGCAUUAGUAUUCAAUUGUCAGAGGUGAAAUUCUUGGAUUUAUUGAAGACUAACUACUGCGAAAGCAUUUGCCAAGGAUGUUUUCAUUAAUCAAAACGAAAGUUAGGGAUCGAAGACGAUCAGAUACCGUCGUAGUCUUAACCAUAAACUAUGCCGACUAGGGAUCGGAUGAUGUUAAUUUUUAAUGACUCAUUCGGCGCCUUACGGGAAA